AGGCGCAGCUGAUAUGUCAUGCCGCGUGCAGGAUGAAGGCCUCGGGUUGUAAACUGCUUUUGUACGGAACGAAAAGGUUGGCUUAAUACGUUGAACUCAUGACGGUACCGUAAGAAUAAGCACCGGCUAACUACGUGCCAGCAGCCGCGGUAAUACGUAGGGUGCGAGCGUUAAUCGGAAUUACUGGGCGUAAAGCGUGCGCAGGCGGUUAUGUAAGACAGAUGUGAAAUCCCCGGGCUCAACCUGGGAACUGCAUUAGUGACUGCAUAGCUGGAGUACGGCAGAGGGGGAUGGAAUUCCGCGUGUAGCAGUGAAAUGCGUAGAUAUGCGGAGGAACACCGAUGGCGAAGGCAAUCCCCUGGGCCUGUACUGACGCUCAUGCACGAAAGCGUGGGGAGCAAACAGGAUUAGAUACCCUGGUAGUCCACGCCCUAAACGAUGUCAACUGGUUGUUGGGUCUUCACUGACUCAGUAACGAAGCUAACGCGUGAAGUUGANCGCCUGGGGAGUACGGCCGCAAGGUUGGAACUCAAAGGGAUUGACGGGGA
rnacentral:rRNA from 1 species